AUGCCUUACAAUAUAACCUCAUCUCAGAUGUUCUUCCUGCCAAUACCCCUCGAAACUGGAUGCGUUAUAUUGAUGUGGGACAUGAUGUCGAGGAAGAUUCAUUUUUUGGACCCAAAGAUCAGAGGGAAUGGCCCUGAUGAUUUCACAAAAGAUAAGCAUGAACUUAUUGCAUGGAAGCUUCACCAUGCGUUAUUCCACUGCCUGAAUGAGUAUUAUGCUGGAUGGCCAACCCAGGAUGGUCAUUGGGGAACGGUUUACCCGGUAGUAGCCGAAGAAACAUUCAUCAGUGAAGAAACAGGGGCUUGUGUCCUCCACAUAGCCCGUCACUAUGAUGGAACAAAACUGAAGAUCCCUCUCACAAAGAGAUAA
rnacentral:rRNA from 1 species